UGGGAACGGUCUUCUUCUUCAAGUAGU
rnacentral:piRNA from 1 species